rnacentral:rRNA from 1 species
GCGCAGCAGUCGCGAAACCUCCGCAAUGCUCGAAAGAGCGAUGGGGGGACUCCAAGUGCCUACGCUCAGCGUAGGCUGUUCCCGAGCCUAAAAAGCUCGGGGAGUAAGGGCUGGGUAAGACGGGUGCCAGCCGCCGCGGUAAUACCCGCAGCCCGAGUGGUGGCCGCUAUUAUUGGGCCUAAAGCGUCCGUAGCCGGCUCGGUAAAUGCCUGGGUAAAUCGUCUGGCCCAACCAGACGAAUUCCGGGUAGACUGCCGGGCUAGGGACCGGAGGAGGGAGAGGGUACUCCGAGGGGUAGGGGUGAAAUCAGCAAGGUGAGUUGCUGAUGUAACUUGCCUUGCAAGUCACAAUCCUGUAACUCCUGGAGGACCACCGGUGGCGAAGGCGCUC